rnacentral:rRNA from 1 species
ACGGCUCAGUAACACGUAGUCAACCUGCCCUGGAGACAUGGACAACCCCGGGAAACUGGGAUUAAUCCGUGAUAGGUCAUCUCAUCUGGAAGGAGAGAUGGCUCAAAGGGGUGCGAGAGCUUCUUUCUUGCACUUGCUCCAGGAUGGGACUGCGGCCGAUCAGGCUGUUGGUGGGGUAAUGGCCCACCAAACCUGUAACCGGUACGGGCCUUGAGAGAGGGGGCCCGGAGGUGGACACUGAGAGAAGGGUCCAGGUCCUACGGGGCGCAGCAGGCGCGAAACCUUCGCAAUGCGCGAAAGCGUGACGAGGUUAAUCCGAGUGGCCCCCGCUGAGGGGGUCUUUUGUUGGCUCUAAAACGGCCAGCGAAUAAGGGGAGGGCAAGUCUGGUGUCAGCCGCCGCGGUAAUACCAGCUCCUCGAGUGGUCGGGGCGAUUAUUGGGCCUAAAGCAUCCGUAGCCGGCUCCGUAGGUCUUCUGUCAAAUCCAACGGCUUAACCGUUGGCCCGCAGAAGAUACCGCGGGACUAGGAGGCGGGAGAGGUGGACGGUACUCCACGUGUAGGGGUAAAAUCCUUUGAUCCGUGGAAGACCACCAGUGGCGAAGGCGGUCCACCAGAACGCGCUCGACGGUGAGGGAUGAAAGCUGGGGGAGCGAACCGGAUUAGAUACCCGGGUAGUCCCAGCCGUAAACGAUGCGAGCUAGAUGAUCCAAUCGCAAAUCGCGAUUGGAGUGUCGCAGGGAAGCCGUUAAGCUCGCCGCCUGGGGAGUACGGUCGCAAGACUGAAACUUAAAGGAAUUGGCGGGGGAGCAC